rnacentral:lncRNA from 1 species
UUCUUGAAAGAAAACCUAAUCCUUCUUCAAUUCUUAACUACUUUUUGUAAGAGUUUAAUCUGCCGUGAUGGUUAGUUUGAUCUUCCAGAUGAACAACUCUUUGCUUCCUAUACAGCCUACUUAACCCUUGGAAAUGGUGCCUGCUUUGGAGCAUAAAUUUUUCUGAAUAUAAAAAAGGGAUUUUGAUCUUCUUUUGACUGAAAAGGCUG